rnacentral:rRNA from 1 species
UGAAUACGAGAUGCUACGGCGUCGAAGCAGUCUAUGUCAUACUUCCAAGAAAAGCUUGCACUGUCAUAAACAAAUAAUGCCUGUACCAUAACCGACACAGGUGGGUAGGUAGAGUAUACUAAGGGGCGCGAGAUAACUCUCUCUAAGGAACUCGGCAAAAUGACUCCGUAACUUCGGGAGAAGGAGUGCCUUAUUUAUAAGGUUGCAAUAACAAGAUCCAAGCAACUGUUUACCAAAAACACAGGUCUCCGCUAAGUCGUAAGACGAUGUAUGGGGGCUGACGCCUGCCCAGUGCCAGAAGGUUAAAGAAGUUGGUUAGCAUCCGCGAAGCUGAUAACUGAAGCCCUGGUGAACGGCGGCCGUAACCAUAACGGUCCUAAGGUAGCGAAAUUCCUUGUCGGGUAAGUUCCGACCCGCACGAAAGGCGUAAUGAUUUGGAUACUGUCUCGGAGAGGGGCUCGGUGAAAUAGACUUGUCUGUGAAGAUGCGGACUACCUGCACCAGGACAGAAAGACCCUAUGAAGCUUUACUGUAACCUGAAAUUGAAAUUGGACUUUACUUGCGCAGUAUAGGUGGGAGGCGUUGAGAAUAUUCUUGCGGGAUUAUUGGAGCCAUCAGUGAGAUACCACUCUUGUAAUGUUAGAUUUCUAACUUUGUAUCAUUAUCUGGUCAAAGAACAGUUUCAGGCGGGCAGUUUGACUGGGGCGGUCGCCUCCUAAACGGUAACGGAGGCGCACAAAGGUUUCCUCUGAACGGGUAGAAAUCGUAUCUAGAGUGUAAAGGCAUAAGGAAGCUUGACUGUGAGACCUACAAGUCGAGCAGGGACGAAAGUCGGUCUUAGUGAUCUGACGGUGCUGAGUGGAAAGGCCGUCACUCAACGGAUAAAAGUUACUCUAAGGAUAACAGGCUGAUCUCCCCCAAGAGUUCACAUCGACGGGGAGGUUUGGCACCUCGAUGUCGGCUCAUCGCAUCCUGGGGCGGUAGUACGUCCCAAGGGUUGGGCUGUUCGCCCAUGAAAGCGGUACGCGAGCUGGGUUCAGAACGUCGUGAGACAGUUCGGUCCAUAUCCGGUGUAGGCGUUAGAAUAUUGAGAGGAGCCUUCUUUAGUACGAGAGGACCGAGAAGGACAUACCUCUGGUGUACCAGUUAUCGUGCCAACGGUAAACGCUGGGUAGCUAUGUGUGGAGUGGAUAACCGCUGAAAGCAUCUAAGUGGGAAGCCCACCUCAAGAUAAG